GACGAACGCUGGCGGCGUGCCUAACACAUGCAAGUCAACUUGAGGGAAGGAGCAAUCUGACCUGGUGGUGGCGCAAGGGUGCGUAACGCGUAAGUAACUUGCCCCAAGGUAAGGAAUAACGUCGAGAAAUCGGCGCUAAUACCUCAUAAUGCAGCGGAUCCGCAUGGAUAUGUUGUUAAAAGGUUUACCGCCUUGGGAUAGGCUUGCGUCUGAUUAGCUAGUUGGUGUGGUAAUGGCACACCAAGGCUACGAUCAGUAACUGGUCUGAGAGGAUGAUCGGCCACACUGGGACUGAGACACGGCCCAGACUCCUACGGGAGGUAGCAGUGGGGAAUUUUGGACAAUGGGGGCAACCCUGAUCCAGCCAUGCCGCGUGCGGGAAGAAGGCCUUCGG
rnacentral:rRNA from 1 species